rnacentral:miRNA from 1 species
GCUUUCAAGCAGAGGUGCAGUGGCAGUGGUGCAUACCUGUAAUCCCAGCACUUGGGAGGCUGAGGCAGGAGGAU